rnacentral:sRNA from 1 species
UCACGAAUAGUUUGCUCUGGUGAUGU